rnacentral:tRNA from 1 species
UAGCUUAGUUGGUUAGAGCACCCGUUUAGAAAGCGGGAGGUCUUGAGUUCAACUCCCAU